AUACUUACCUGGCAGGGGAGAUACCAUGAUCAAGAAGGUGGUUCACCCAUGGCGAGGCCUGGCCAUUGCACUCCGGCGGGGCUGACCUAUGCGAAUUCCCCAAAUGUGGGAGUCCAAAAAUCAAUUUAAUAUAUGGUCCCCGGGUAGGGGACGUAUC